AUUAGGUUUUGGUGCUAGGGUAAGGUUUGAGGUUUUUGGCAUUAGGGUUAAAAUCACUGUCCAAAACCUUUUUAGGAACACCUUUCAGACCUUUUGGAGUUUGUACACCAAAAAAAAAAUGUAAAAUGAAAAAAAAAAAUUUGGGGUGUUCGGGCUUCCUGAAGGUAAUACCCGGGUAUCAGGUUAUGGGGCUAUGGUAAGGUUUAAGGUUUUUGGCGUUAGGGUUAAAAUCACUGUCCAAAACCUUUGUAGGAACUCUUUUCCAAACUUUUG